AAGGGGAAGAAGAAUUUGGCUGUUGUUGGUUUUGAAAAGAAGGAAGAGGAGGAACUGAAGGAAGUUGGUGCAAUGGGCGACGACAGUGGUGGUUUGAGUGCUAAUAAGGCCGUUGGGCAGGAGGAGGAGGGCAGUACUGCACCUUUCCCAGAAAAGGUUCAAGUGGGAGGAUCACCUUUUUAUAAGAUAGAAAGAAAAUUGGGUAAAGGUGGGUUUGGUCAGGUGUUUGUUGGUCGUCGUGUUACUGGUGGAACUGAACGCACAAUGGGUCCUGGGGCCAUGGAGGUGGCUUUGAAAUUUGAGCAUAAAAACAGCAAAGGUUGUAACUAUGGUCCCCCGUAUGAAUGGCAAGUAUAUAACACUCUUGGUGGUAGCCAUGGAGUGCCAAGGGUUCACUAUAAAGGAAAGCAAGGAGAUUAUUAUGUAAUGGUUAUGG
rnacentral:misc_RNA from 1 species